GUCUGUGUUUGGGAGCUAAUCGCUGUGAUGCAAGCUGCUGCCUGAGGCCACGGAUGGAGGAUAGAGACGCCCCUCCACGAGCGGAAUGACACAUUUCCCCCUAACAUCCCAUAACAUGGUCCUCCCCCGACCUCCAGCACCAAGCCCUCCCCAAUAUCCUCCAUCCAGGAGCCACAGUUCCCCGAAGACACCGAAGAGCCCCUGUGUGUGUGAGUCACUCUCACUUUUAUGUUGUUGCCUUGAUUGUGUAAUAAACUUUAUUCAGUUAACCGUGAAUUAUUGUUAAUUUAACUAAAAAGUCAUUUUCUUAAUUGAAACAGAGGAGGGAGGGGCGGACCAGAUUAACGACGUAAUGUGUGAGUGUUGCUCUCUUCUUCACACUCCACAUCUUUGAGACUUUUAUCUUGGAUAAUUAUUUUUACCCAUUACAGUUUCCUCAAUCCUUUCUCCCAUCCUGCACUUCUAGUAAAAAGCCAAUAAACUAAUUAGCCUCACACCUGCAGUACUGCAGGUCAGUUGAAUUUUAUACUAUGAAACCUAGUAUAUUGUAGUUGAUAUUCUAAUAAAAUCAAAUUAGCAUAGCAGCAUUACCCCUGAAGGUGCAUCAUUGCAUAGUGUGUAAACAAAGGUGUUACAUUACAGUAGUGGACAUGUAUGAUGUUUAAAGCUUCAGAGGGCUUCAGCAGUAUUGGUGCUGGUGUUUCAAUGGCCACAUUUUGUUAAAAAACAUGAGGCACCUCCUGUUUGACUGACACAAAUAUUUAUUUCAUUAAUGCCGGGGGAUAGAUGUGUGAAAAGGGCUAUAGGAUUACAGCAAACAAGCAUAUUAGACACAAGCGUCUGACCACUACAGCAGCUAAAUAUAUUUGGUAAAGGCCACUUUGAGCAAAAUCCACUUGUUUACAAUGAAUAGAAAAUUACUGAAUAUUUCUGCGCAGCUCUGUUGGUAAAAAAUGAACACUGCAGAACAUAUUGUUUGUUAAUCAACAUAAAUUACAUACAUUUCAAUAAAAUAAUCCUUCAUUAGUCCGACAGCUGGGAUGUUUGCUUAUUCUGCUGUAAAUCACACGAGCCACCUCUAGACGAUAUAUAAAACCAAAUUCAAAGAUUCAAGAUUCAAAUAUUUUUAUUGUCAUUUACACAUGCCCUGUGUAUUGAAAUUCUUGUGCUUGCCUUUUAAAAUUAAAAUUAAAAUACAAUAUUUACAUAAAUGUACAUGAAAUAAAAAAAUAAAAAUGAGGUAAGGAUAAGGCAGAAAUGAGGUGAGGAGGAAAAGUGCAAAACUGAGCUGGUUGUAAAAGAAAAUACUUAAAUUAAAUGAAAUGAGUGCAAUAUAAAUGAACAGUACAGUAACAGUAAGUGAAAUUCUAACAAGCUAAAGUGCAGACCAGUUGUGGAUUAGGUUUUAGAGUCCUCUCAGCUGUUGAUGGCUUACUUAUGUAACCAGUUACGUAAGUUCACAUACAGGCAUUGCGGUUAAAGCCUGCUAAAGAAAUUUGAGGCAUUAGAAGUAGGUCAUAAUUACCUAGUUUCAAACCUCAUCCAUCACGAUGCUCCACAGAAUGAACUCUGCCGCAAAACAAAUGGGAUCAAAGUUUUGGAAUUCAACCCACAUACCAGAGCUACUGCGGAGAUUCAGGAAGCUGUCACAUUCCAGUAAACACAUGUGGAAUUACCAGGGCAAGAACUCCUGGUCACCAGCCUAGCCAAAUAUUAUCUCAUAGAGAACAAUACGACCCCCCCUUGCACACCAGAGAUUGGCUGAAAGGGAGGAAGUGAUGUAUAUUGACUUUUCAUUUGUGUCUUGCUGACACUGCCCCGAAAAAAAAAAAGGAAAGAACCACGUCCAGCUGCUAAAACCUACAGGAAACAGCCGCACUGGACUCAACAUGAUUCAGCUGCAUUCGCUUUUUCGAGUGAGUGUUUUCACCGAGCGCGUCCGUUGCUCUACAGACAAAAAUUGCAAGUCAUGCCCUGCUAAAGUAGCUAAAUGAAACUGACCAUUAUCACAGUAAUAUUCCUCUAAAACGAUUAGUGCAGUACAUGCAAUAUAACCAAAUGAGGCCUACAAAUGGCAUAGGUGCUCAAGUUAAUGACAUCCAUGUACGCAAUAAAAUAAACAUUAUCCAUCAUUCCUGCUGAUCUACCCGCAUUAACGCUUGACCUACGCAAACAUUCUUGUCUUGGCAAUCAUCCUCUCUAUUUGUCCAUCUAUGGAGUCUGUCUCAGCCAGCACCUUGUCAGUCAUAAAAGCGGAGGAGGAGGUGGGGGUGGAGGUGGUGGAGGAGGUGGAGGAGGAGGAGGAGGAGGAGGAGACGGAGGAGGGGAUGAAAAAGAGUGCCAUUACCAGUGUUCUGGACCCGUGUCUUCCCGGGGUGAAUAAUUACGUCUGACAUGUCGUGAAUAGGGAGGGACAUUAUCGCAGUGAUCCUCUGUACCAACUCGGUGUGUUCCCAUGCGCGCACACACACACACAUACAUUAGGGCCCCUCUGAAUGAUUUAGGGGGUCUGUUAAUAAUGCAGAGGCUCCUAGAGCUAAUUAGGUAAGUAGCAGAGGGCGCCGGCUGUGAUGGCUCAGCUCACUGAUACGAGCUGUAAAGGAAUGAAGCAUCCACUGCACACGCAUACUCUCACACAGAGUUUGGGUUUAUGUUUCACCACAUGCACACGCACACACACACACACACGCCGUAAUCUCAAUAAUUGCCUUGAUUCUUUUCAAAAGGGAUGGAUUAAAUUUGCAUUUGAGAUUAAAUUUCAUUUAUUGAUGGUCGAGCAAAAAAAAAAACGGAGCGGCUUCACUAUUGUACUUUCAUUCAAGUAUAUUAUCAAUUAUUGAGUGGAUGAGGAAAGGAAAGAGGUCUGUGUGCGGUGGCCCUCAGGCAUUUUGACAAACAACAUCAAGGAGGUGGAAAGGCAACAGCGAUCUUUGUUGCUCCCGGGGAAAAGAGAAAAAAAAAAUCGAUAGAAAGUGAUUAUCUUGAGAGGGCACAAGUGGAGAGCCGAGGUGGGCCUCGUCACGUGUGCGAUCCCUCUCUUCCCGGCGCCAGAGCUGUCAGCCCUGUAAGAGCCGUGUCAGGGUGAUUAGAGAGCAGCGCGGCCCAGACGGAGCACAGCCAACCUCCAGACAAGCCCUCCAGAGACGCAGCAGCAAAACAAGCCUCGGCCCAGGGUCAGGCCCCACUUUGUCAACCUCCCUGCAAGACGGGCCCCUCCAGCGCAUAAUCAGGGAUCAUCUCGUAUAGGAGAUUGCAGUGUGUGUGACACGUAGCUGUUUUAUUGCACCUUUAGGGGAAAAAUAAUUUAUAUGCGAAGGUUGGCCCUCUCCAAAAAACAACGAGAACAUUUAUCUUCCCGCAGCGGUAUGUAGACAUUCAUGUGAUUUCUUUCUGAGAUGUUGCUGAUAUUUUGGACUCUAUAUAGUUGAGUUGAAUAGUAUUGACUGCUUUUUUACGUACAACAAUAAUAAUAAUAAUGUCAUUUGGAGGAAUCAUGUACUGUAUGCUGGAAAAAACAAGAGUGUUAUUCCUUUAAAAGGUGUUGCUAGGAGAGGCAUGAAAUGCUAUUUGUUGAAACAUGAUCUGAUGAAGUGAUUAAACCAGACCACACCGUACUUGCAUGUUCAGUUACUAUUUUACUAACAAAGUGGAGAAUAACGGGUGACUGAAGUCAGAGUAGUAUCACAUCUCUACAGUUUACCUGGAUCUCCACAGUCCGUAACUCCCCGCUUCCUACUUAAAUGAGACGAUAGGCCGUCCGGUUGAGGUUGACACUAUGAGGUCACGUUGGAGUUUCAGAGGGGAGAAAACUUUACAAGUUUACACCUACUGAUGUCAACUGAACCCUUGCGCUGAUACUGGCGCCAAUAUCUUUAAAAACAAAGGAUAAAACAAAGAGGACAAUGACAUCUGCCGACAAUUCUGUUACAGGGAGAUGAUUCUAUAUUCAAGUUUUUCAUCAAGGGGUUAAAACACACAAAUCACACAAAAACCAUCCAAAAACCCACGCGGAGCACAAUAUACAGUCCCCCAAUCAGACAGGGAGGGGGAUUCGUACAGGGAUAUCCACCAUAUAAUCUCGUUUUUUUUUCUCCAAGCGUUUGCUUUUUUUUUUUUUUUCGAAGUCCCCCUGUAGCGCACACUUGUUGACAGAUUGCUCAUUAGUGUGACACAAACUUUCAGCGCCGUCUGCAGUUCCCGGGGUUCACCGGUUCCCUCUCAUCCCGCAGCAUAAGGGAAAGCCGCGUCCCGCCUGUUCUCUACCUGUGUGUGAUAGCUGUGGCCUGGAGGUUGACGGUAUCUAAUCACAGCCUCAACAGGUGAGCAGAGGAGACGGUGCAGACAGCACGGCACCACAUGGAAUUCCUGCACUAUCGUAAUGCACAUCGAGCCACACACAGAUUUGUGAUAAAUGCACGGUAUGCUGCUCUUGAUGCUAAACAUAGUAGAUAAUGCACGGUACAUUUUCCUGGCCGCAUGCUAUCUAGUCCUCCGUGAUUUAACGCAGGACACAAACCCCAGAACUCAGGUGUCCGUUCAAAACGUUACACAAACAAUUUUUUUUUUCGCAUUCGUCUUCAUUCAUUUCAGACAUGGCGUUCCUCAGCGCGGCGUUUGAAGUCCUUUUUGACCUCGUCCUCACCUCAACAGCGCAGAAACCUCGUCAGACAUAAAAGCCGUCAGAUGGGGCAGAAGAAGCCAAAACCCCCCCAGGGGAAGGAAAGGCAGAGGAGUGGGAGGGUACCGAGGAGGUAGAAGGAGGAGGACGGGUGUCACUGUCUCUACAAAGCCCUCUUAUCCUAGAUAUCAAAGCGUUGUACUCCCAGAAUAAAACAUUGUCAGAAUGAUAUGACCUCACCACAGGGGAGGCUUGUCAUAUUCCAAAGUAAAAACAGGAAACAGAGAGAGAGAGAAAGGCAGUUUUAUUAUUGUAAAAGGGAGAAGGGGGAUCUCGUGCGGUUUUGGCCGAGCUUUGGUGCACAACGGCGUUCUUAAAAGUGUGUUUUUGAUAUCAUACAAAGAAACUAUUGUGUCAGGCUUCAUCCUCUCUGAGUGGAGCUCUGGGUGCACGGGACAGAGAAGGACAUACGGCAAAACAAGUGACUGCCGGCCUCUCCCCAACUAGUCACAUGACCAACGUGAUCUCCAAAACCUGUUCGUAAAAAUGUAUACGAAAAUCUUGAACAUACAAAUUUCGUAGUGAUACCUACGAACUGCGGGGGUUAACCACGCCCCUUGAGUGAACAACAUGGCGGACCAUGUCGGAUUCUUGAGUGAACGUCUCUCCGCCUCGCCGGAUUUUUGGAGGGGGUUAGGGUUAGGAUUCUAUUCUUACAAGUUAACACUGAUUUCUCGUUAAAAAUGCAAUCAUAACACGUUUAUUUUACAUCGUUAGACUUCACAAAGUGUGUUUACGGGGUGCAGGUCCCCGUUCACUUUGAAUAGGGUGACGUCAUUUCGUAUGUAUCACUACGAAAUUUGUAUUUUCAAGAUUUUCGUGUACAUUUUUACGAACAGGUUUUGGAGAUCAGGCUGCACAUGACAUGUCAUUAUGAACAAGGAGUACGUGGUAAAAUAGCGCCAUUGUUGUAAUCGUCAUUUACUUGUAACCUGUUGCUAUGGAUCCAAGUGUUUGCUGUCUUCUCCUUUUUUUUAUUUGCUUACUGAAGAGGAAGCAUUUAGGAUGUAGGCCAGAUGGGUACACAGCGCUAUUGUAUGGUUGACAGAGAGAUGACCUUGUUGUGCCCGUGCACACGCAUGUGUGUGUGUGUGUGUGUGUGUGUACAGAGAGGGGGGAUUAGAGACCAAGCACCUGGCAGGUGGAAACAGUCUGUACUCAUCUGAUGCCCUCCUGUCCUUCUGGGUCUCUCACACACACACACACACACACACAAUAUGUAUCUCGGUCAUGAUACAUGUUACAUGUUACAUGAUACAUGUUAAAACGCUUACAACCUGGAGUUUCCUAACUUUUGAGUAGCAAACGAGACAGAUAGAGACGCGUUUUGUCGCUCGCGGAUCGCCACACGUUGUGUAGCAGCUCGUCACGAGAUGAAUGUGAGUUGAUGAACCAGAACCCUUGAGGCCCAAACGUACAUGCGAAAAAAAACACAUAGUGACAGAGCUUCAGGGAAUGUCGCAUUUUGUGGUGGUGAUUAAAAGCUAACCAGCCAUUCCGCAUGAUAAAUAUAGCAGUUUCGGUUUCCCUCCUAACACAUUAAUGACACCUUUUAACAUUUGUGCGAAAGGUUUGGGAGGAAUUCCUGUUAAGCGGUUUUGCGAGGUAAAUUAAGCUAAAAAACAUCAAGCUCAAAAAUCAUACAGCUGACUCCUGUCAGGCAUCCCAAUGGAGUACUAAGCACCCCAUCUGUUAUAGCCCGCUCAAAGAUUGUAGCUCGAGUGGAGUCAUGAGUGUUAAGUUAAAACAAACACAGUAAUUACCUUAAUUAAGAUCUGGCAGAUUCCUUUAGAUUAAAAGAUGCCUGCAGAAGAUACUUGAGAGUUGAUCAGAGACGAGAGAAAAGAGGAUGAGGUCAAGGAGAACCAAAUGAAAAAAAACAAUACUAAAAAAAAGGGAAAUACAGGAAGCUAAAAAGGAAAUACGUUACGAAGAGGUGCAGGAAGCGGAGGAGAGCAGUCGUGGCGACUUUUUCUUUUCGGCUGCGUGAGGAGUAAAUGGCUCUGCAGGCACCUGUCACUCUGAGAGGCCGGCAUGGGACGAUCAGCGAUGAUGACGGGGGCACGGACCUGUGUCAAGAUGCUGAACCCAGCUGUCAAUCAAACCACUCUGCCCUGUGGGAUGACAAGGAUGGGCCUUAAUCCUGCUGUAGAGAGAGAGAGCGAGAGGGAUAGAGAAGGAAAAGAUUUGGUAAAAAGGAAAAGCAAAGAGCGAGCGUUUUGGGAGCUGAUAUUAGCUGAAGUUAAUAACUAAAACGAUGGUAAUUUAACUUAAUAUGAUAUGGAAAAAUACGACAGGGUAUGACGUAAGCUCGUGAAGUGUUCUGUAAAAGGCAAUGAAAAUUGCGGCUAUUCUCUUUUCAAUGAACCAACUUGGGAAAAAUGUUUUGCGUCCCUCUCCUUAGUAGGCCAUAUGACACUGUGUGAACCAGUCAUUUGCAGGCCAGAAAGGCCAGUAUGAGUCAUCCUCCAGCUAUCUAGGACCAUACGGCCUCCCGGGAACACACAGGAAUGACCAGGGAACCAGUACAUAAGAGCACAAUAGGAAAAAAAGACUCUAACCCACAUUCGGUAAUUCACUGGAGCUCCGGCAAGCUGUUUUCAAUUAGCCUUCGAUGAUUCUCAGUGUUGGUCAACCGCAUCAUUUCAAGCAAAUGAAACCAUAACUUGAAGCCACAAUGUUUGGUUUGGCCACAAGGAAAUAUGUGCUUCCCUCCUUUCUUUUGUCAGUGGUAUACUCGCUGCAGAAGACCUUCAACAUGCUUUUGUGGUCUUUUUCAUGUAUCACAGUUGUGUAACGACGUGGAAGUGACACACAUGACACCUCAUGCAUUCGUCUGCUGGAUGAAGUGAAGUACUGUGUUUCGAUCCGUAUUAUUUCUGGAGGUAAUCUGGUUUUAGUUGGGCAGCAUAUUCCUCUGAGGUCCACGUUGCGGCGACAAUCACAAUAAUAAUUUACAUGUGACCAGUAAAGGAAUAACCUCUGGUGCCUUGCUGCAGGGAUAUGGGGUCAAAGGUGGAGUUUUUAAAUGUAUGCGUGACAAAGAGAGGUGGAGAGAGAGAGAGAGAGAGAGAGAGAGAGACAUGCACCAGCAGAGAUACACUUCGUCACAGCUUUCAGGGGACAGUGUGAACCAAGAGCAAAAGCCAAAGAUCGUUCGGGGCCCAGAUGUACAGUGUCCCCGAGGUGAUCACAGCCCUGACCUGACACUCCAGUGUCCCGGCGUGCUCGCAAGAUGUGGGUCAACUGACAUCUGUUUCUCACCACAGCCCGGGCUCAGCUCGGCCCGACCCAACCCUGCUGCCAUAUUCAUCCUAAUAACCACUCCCAUAAUCACCAGGGAUUAUUCUAAUAUUAGUGAGCACACACACACACACACACACACAGUGACUGCUCUGAUUAAGGUAUAGUGCUCCAUAUGUUUUUUUUGGAGUUUUUUUGCGAGGGAUUUGUACGCUUUUUAGCCCUUCAGUGAAAAGCCUUGAAAAAGCCAGCUUAGAGAGGACUAAAGAGAGUCCCUGCAUAAAUAAUAUUGGAAAAUAGCAUGGGCAUGGGGUUUAGGGAAAGGGGGGGGUCAAACCGGGCUGAGAUGCUCACUGCCAGCAGAGGUGCUCCGCACCGAUGUCUGGCCUUGAAGUUGGGCGUUGAGGGGGGGGGGGACUGCCGUGCGCUUUUCUUCCACCAUGGCGGAGGGAUUAUGAACCACUGACAGGGAUGUGUGAAUCAAGAUGGCACACUCACUACACAACAGGACUAGAAAGAGACACCGCGGGGGGCUGUCAAGACAGACCCAGAGUGAGCAUGGGAGGAUUACCAUAUAAUGAUGAAAGAUGAUGAAGACUGAUGAAUGGAUUGUUGGCGCUUUAGCUGUGGGGGGGGGGGGGACGACAUGCUUCUGUGAGGAACUUGACAUUUCAUGCAUGGAUGCCAAAGCUAAGGAUUUCCAGUGCAAAGACAUGUGUGGAUUUUUGCCGCUGUUCUUCUUGAAGCGGAUGAUUUUCUUUUAUGUCAGCUAGCUGUUUUUAUUUAUCCCUUUAGUGUAAACUCAUUGUAUUCCAGGCAUUCCUGUGCUACACGUCCUUCUUUACAUAUUGUGCGUGAAAUCAUCUCUCUUCCCACUUUUUUUUUUUUCCUUAAAGGUCUAUUUGUGGAAGUCAUGGCCUGCUGGUGUUUACGAUUCUCACUGGGCCCCUACUGCUGGUGUUUUUUCCCCACACACACACACACACACACGUACACACACAAACAUGGUGGGUUCUUCCUGCUGACACUCAACUUCAUUCUUUGCUGCAGCUGCAUCGGUUGUCACCAUGGAGACCUUGUUUAUUACUUAACCCCCCCCCCACCUGCUCACCAACACACACACACACACAUGCACAACCGUUAUGGCAGAAAAAUAGGCAGACUGCGUCUGACUCUGUGUUUGAUUUGGUGUUAUUGGGCCCCAUCGGGAUCACAGCCUCCAGCAAGCCCAGGCCCAUAUGCACAAACACACGCCCACAGCAGUUGGCCCGGGAUGGAUGCAGCAGGCCCGUGCUAAACACUGCGCCGUAAGCAGCACACCACCCUAAUCACCUGCAGGCUGGUCUGGAUAAUGACAUUUGUUAAGGCUUUAACUCGACCUGCGUGAGUGAGAGAGGGGCGGUCUGGCUGCGUUUCCUCUCAAACAUCCCCGCUACAAAAAGAGAAACUAAUAGCCGCACGAAUCACCAAAGGCAUCUUGAUGGUGAGGCCUAACAAUGAAUAUGCAAAGUGCUGUGUGCGUGUGUGUGUUUGUGAAUACGGCGUGUGAGUAUAGAGGGCGUUAGUGAAAGGCCAUCCUGCUUAGCGGGCGGCAGCAUGCAGGCAGGUUUUUCACGAGACAGGGAAUCUGUUAUGCAACAUGUGAGUGCCUGCUAAUCUCGCCGAACAGGCUGCUCCUCCUGGCCACCUCUCGGCCCGUGCACACACACACACACACACACACACACACAGAUACGCACAGCUCCUGGCGAUGUUUCUAGACGUGCAUGGCUACACACCCAGGUGGCCUUAAUGGGUUUAAAAGCCAAAGAUUCUCCUGCGCUUCUGUCCAGAGUAGAGCCCUACAGUAGAGCAUGUGACUGCACGGCGAAGCCGCGUGAGAGGUCAAGACGCCGGGAAGUCACCAAAACACACCACGUCGAAGGCCGCAUUAAAGUUCUUAUAUGAGGAAAAUAUAAAGGAGCUUGAAACAAUGUCUUUUUUUCUGUUCUGUUUAGACUGGUUGAUAGUCAAAGAGAGUGUGUGUUGGCCAGCAGAGAUACAAACAAAGGCAUUUAAAUGUCAUUAUAAAAGUUGCGGCGGGUUGGCUGACCCUUAUUGAUGGAUUUGGCAUUUGGCACUUGGCAGUAGGUAAAAUUGGAGCCUGUGUCUGCAGCUCUACAUCUGAAGCAAAGGUCAUUAGGUGACCUAUUGGCGUCAGGUGGUAACAAAGCUAACUCUCUGCAUCGUUACUCAGCUUGUUGGCAUAUGUUGACAGGCUUCCAGCCGAGUGUCUCGGCCUGAAACAGACGCACACGUGCACACACACACACACACACACACACACACACACACACCUAUAUCCUCCAUGCACACACCUGAGGUCCUGUCCAAAAUUACCUCCAGCAAUGACCUCCUCAUCUGUAAUUCCCUGAUCUCACAUGUGUUACUGCAGAGAGCUGCUCUGAUGUGGACAGAAGAAGAAGAGCAGAGAGUUUGUUAUUAUUCCUUUAAUUUACUGAGGAAAAGAAAAGGUAAAAAGUUAUUAUUAGCUUCAUUCCACUCAGUUUGCACUCUGACAAUGUGAGAUGAACUAAACUCAGUCACUCAGCAAAGUGAUGGAAGUGUGAGAAUAUUCACCACUGGCCCAAACUUGCAGCACAAUGGCACAAUAAACACUUUGAUAGAAGCACAAUCUGCAACUCGAGCAAAAACAAAUAACACAUUGAUCCUUACAAGAGUUCUUUUGUCUGGGUUUGGUUCUGGAUUCAUGAACCGAACAAAACAAUUGGUUCCAGAUUGAGGCAGGCUUCUGUUCCCCCCAGGGGAGAUGAUUUAAAUAUAUCAGAGGAGAGAGAAGCAGGAAUAACUGUGGAUGUGGUGAGAGUGCAAUUGAGAGGGAAAGAAUGAGUGAAAUGGAGAAGAAUUCAAACACGGCCGAAACAUUUAAAGUGAAUGGAUGCAUCAGAGCUGGAUGCGAGGAUGCAGGACAAGCGGAUGAAUUUGAUCGUGCCAAACUUUUAAUGAAGAUGAAAGCGGAAUAAUAAGUGUGUAUCGAUGGUGAUUUCUCUUUCAUCGGAUGGAGGCUGUUCUGACCUCAUACUACUCAACAUGACUACACAGCAGUUUCCUUUGUACUAUUUUUAGAUGCUCCAUCUGUAUGUGGAUAGUAAGUCACAGGGUGUUAACGAUUGAGGGGCGAGUGUGUGUGUGUGUGUGUGUGUGUCAUUCGGGUUAUCCAGAUGUUUGGUUGAAUGGGGGCUUCUUCAUUUCCGAAAGAUUAACAAGAAUUUCCCAUAACCCAACUCCAGGUCGGCUAUCAUAACAGUGCUCAUGCUCCCUGGUAUUCUUAAGGGACGGGGUGACACGUUGCAGCUGUUUGACAGCAAAAUUGGUCUUUUUCGUUGAUUGUUGUGGGAGUAGCAGGAGAACACCGAUCGUCUCUCUCUCUCUAUAUAUAUAUAUAUAUAUAUAUAUAUAUAUAUAUAUAUAUAUAUAUGGCUCUCUCUUUCAGAGUGUGCUUCAUUCUUGAGAGGAUGUACCAAAAAGGACCUGGCAAGGGUUUGGCUGAGGUCCAGCUGCCCUGACAAACAUACACACACACACAUUUGCACACAAACAAGGAACACUUAGUCCUCACCGUGGGUGAUUACAAAGCCUUUCAAAAUCAUUUACACACACAAGCAGUCAAGCUGAAAACUAAUUUGUCCCAACCUACACAAAUACAAGGAUACCCUCAUUCACUGACACACGCAUAAGCACUAUCUCACACCAAAUGAUCCACAUCCACAAUAAGAGAGGUGAAAGGUGUGAGGACAGACAACACAAAUACACACACACACAGACACACACAAACCAUGUACACGCGCACACAUACACACAAAUAGCCAUGUCCAAUCUCCAUUCUAAACGGUGAUAAGUGACGGUAAUUUGACAUGACAGCCAUGAACUGUAGUAUCAAACAAUAUGAAUCGGAUGUGGUGAAAGGACACUGUGGCCUCAAUCAACCAGUCAUCAAUUAACCAGUCAACUUAUGGUUCUUAAAGUCCCAGUGAAGUGAAAGCUAGAGCGCAUAUGGCUUACUAGCGUGCUGCAGGGAUGUACACUGUAUAGAGAAAAAGAUGUUAAGAUAUAACAAACUUCAAAUCUCGUCUCAACUCUUCUCAAAAGUAAAACUAAGAUUUCAUUGAUUGGAUGGUGAAAGAGGAAUUUAUAUGUUUGGUUGGCUAAUUGCUCAUUAUAAGAGCUUGGACUCUGCAUGAAGCAACAGAUGCGACCACCAGGUAGACACGCUGCAGGAAGGAGGCGGUAGUGAAAUGAGCAUCCAUGCAGGACACUCAAGGAGUGAUAACAAACUGCUGCCGUGACAUACAGGUGAUGCAUAGCACCAGCAGACAGACAGACAGUUCUCCGGUUGUUAUGUCCCAGAGUUUAGUCCCUUGGCCAUCUGACACCUCUUCCUGUUUGGACAUCAGGCCCCUAAGGACACACACAGCUGGGGACGGGACAAAGCUAGCUCCCUCUGUUUGGAUCCACGCACACACACACAGCGUCCCAUAUGAGGUCCUAUAUAUCAGCCCUGUUGGUGACACAUUCUCCUUUUCAUGUGUGACCAGCAGCCCACGGUCACAUGAGAGAUGUAAGAGCAGCUGUCAGGAACACACAGAGGAGCAUCUGUAUAUAUGCAUGUGCAUGUUUUUGUCCAUUUGGUCAUGAGCAAAACAAGUUUCUUCUGACAUCACCCUGUCAUCGCUGUGAAACUGCAUUUAGAAAAUGACCAUGGAGGAAAAAUAAAUGCAACAAAUCAGUGUAAAACCACAGCUGCAUGUCUGAGCCGGAUGAGUCAACUGUCACAAAGCAAGGGGCCAAAACAAAGACAAAGCAAGGCCUAAUCACUGCUUUGUUUGAAGCAGUUGUAUUCAAAUAUAAUAUGUUUCCUCCAGCAUGUAGACUACAGUUUGUUUUAGUUUGGGAUUUAAGGUAAGAAUGUGCACAUCAAAUGGAUACUUCACAAGGUAUUGAUUGGAAAUACCAUAAUACCACCAGUUUGCUUAACCAGUAUAACAAAUCCCACAAUAAAUCCCAUUGCUGACUGGGUAUUGGAUGUCAUAUAACUUGCAGCUUGUCUAAAAUGUUUUUCAAGGUUGUGUGCAAUGCCAUCAGCAAGAUAUUCUGACACUACACACAAUAGUGUAUAUUUUGUGACAGCCGGGAAAGGCCUCUUUCUUUAACAUGAUAGUUCCUCUAAACUGCAAUCAUUUGCAAGGCUCAGACUUCAGGAAGUAACUGGACCCGAUCAAGAAUGAGUCUGGCACAAAAGCCUGUGUAAAACAGCAACGAACCCCAUAACUUAAAUAAUUGUGUUGGGGAAGCAUAUCCCAGAUUUCAACACAGCAUUUCACUUUGUAAUUGUCUCACGUAAUAAUAUCUGUGCUUAUGUGUUUCUGGUCAUUUUGGUCAUCAUUCACAUUUUUGACCAAUCAUUUCUAUUAACUUUAAAUUAUUUUUUUGGUUACAUUUACCGUCUGCACCAGAAAUGGAUGAACCGUGAAUGAACAUAUUUCAUGCUGGUCGUGAGUCCAAGCUGCUAGAAAAGGAACAAAAGUAUUGGUUCUCCUCAUUGAUUCAGGUGGUAAUCUUCAUCAAUUACAAGUGUAUAAUUUGAAAGUGUUUCCUCGUAAAUUACCCCGAUUAGAGUAUUUUCACAUUCCCGGUGUAGCUUUUAGGAAACGAUAACUUUUAAUACGCCUGCCUAGAUUCAUAACAGCAUUUUCACCCAUGAUCUUGUGUCAGUAAGCUUUGGUGCAUUUGCACCCUUGGGCUCUUUAACAUUCAGCUUAGCGGAGCAUUUUAUCUCAGCCACACAAGGUCUUCUGAUAAGCGAGGAGCCAUGUGGUGCAUUAGUUUAGCAUCCCAGCCAGCCAUGCUAGUAAUUCCUGCUUUGAUAUGAGUGGACCUGUGGAGGACGGGGGGUGAAAUAUCCUAUUCCGAAAUACCAGUUAAGCUAGCCUUGAUUUAAGUCUAGACGUGUGUGGGAUGUAGAGGAAGAAGCACAGACUCCUCUCUGGGCCGCAGGAUUAGAACGUUUACCUGCUAAUGUGUUUAGGUACGACACACACACACACAGACUCUGAUACACACAAUGUAAAUACCGUACAUGGAAACAUACAUGGAAAAAGAGACACGUUUUGUGUACACAAUUCCCAAAACAUAUAUACCACUAUAGAUCCAGUACAUUCGGCUGGCCUGGCCGUGCUUUGUGUAUUUGUGGGUGCUGAGGUCUGCACCCAUCUGCUCCUGUGUGUGUGUAAUCUGCCACAGACAGGCUAGAGCGCUUAGAAGGGCCAGACUGCAAACACUGCAAUGGGAUGAGACACCUGCCACAGGGCUAAGACCAGAGCCCUGACGCACAAACACACACAGAUGGAGGCCACAGUUACCACGGACAAAGCAGUCACUCCACUGCUGCCCAAGCGGUGAGACAUCUCAGUUUUUUUUGUACUGUUUACGAUGAUAGUUUACAUUGAGAGACCAGUAUUUCCUGCAGGGUGUUGAUUGUCGGCACCUGUGCCGCAACCAAACUAAUUGGUUUGUAUUAAUUGUCAAUGGAGAAUUUGACGGUUCCAAAACCACAGCUCUCAAAAUGCUCCCGGUGAGGAGGGAAAGAGAUCCGCUUAUCCUCGUCUUGAAGUCUAGCUUUGAGCAUCUGCUGUCAGAGUGUCACGUCUGAAUUUAGCAAAUGCCCAGGCACGAGGUGGCUGCGUUCUAAAUGCCCAAUGCUCAAAGGAGUGUCUGUCGUGCCGCAGCUCGGCGUGCCAAAUCAGAGCUGGCUAGUAGCUCCCCAUAGGCGAACAGAUGGCCAUUACUAUCAUUUAUAACUUAUUAGGGCCUAUAAUCCUACCUGCGUCAAACACGCCCCAACGCUUAGGGCUGGCUCUCUUUUUUUUUUUUUUUGCCUCAUUUAAAACAGUUCUAUCUGCCAGAAAAGUCCUCUUCAUGAUUCUCUCCGUCUCUCUGCAUUUGUAAUCCGCAAACUGUUGGGAACAACAAGGACAAACUGGUGUGGGGUUGUCUUUUAAAUCAAAAGUCAACCCGCCGUAGCGACAAAGAACAACUCUUGACAACGGGCAGGCCCGGGACACAUGUGACAUUUUACCAUUCUUAAGAUUGAUUUUAAGAGACACGCGCAUGUUUAAUAAAAUGCCGAUGUAGUGCCAAAGUGAUAAUUCCCAUUCUGCCUGAUUUCUGCAGUCCUUCUCCCACUUUGUCAGUCUCUCUGUCUGGCUCCACAGAAGCAAUCGUCAGUGAUGCCUCACAUCCACCACCCAAGCAGGUGUGGGCAUUGACGUUUCUGCUGUGAACAGGCUGCAUCUGUCAUGUGGCAAAGCAGAAAUAGCUCCAAUCAAUGUCCCCCUCGGACACACACGCACGCACACGCACACACACGGCCACGCUCGCACACACCCCUGGCUCCGCCGUUCUCCAUCCAGCAAACAAGGAUCUAUGGAACAGACAUUGUAAACCGCCCCUUCUCCCCCCGGGCAGUGCGGGGCGAUCGAUCAGCCCGUCUCGGAGGGUCAACGGGGCUGAUGUAUCCUCCUUGAACUUUACACUGACUUCAAAAUAACUGACUCCAAUUCCUCGCCCUCCCACCCGUCGCCAUUUUGCUGCAGCUACUUUGUUGCGGCCAUUUUGUGUCCCCCGCCAUUUAGCACUCUAUUGAGCUGUAGCUGGGGACGCCAAAUGGAACGUGUGAAACCCCCCUCCUCCCCCACCCAGCACCACGCCCCAUUAUUUGUGACCGUUUGGAUGACAGACAAAUAGAUGGGCAGACAAACCGGCAGACAGAGAGACAGAAGGAAGGCAGAUGACCGGCUUUGAUGAGCUUUAUGGAGAUAGCGGACAGACAGACAGACAGACAAAUGUGUGUCUGCAAACAUACAGACAGAUAGACAGACAGAAGGUAUAUAUAUAUAUAUAUAUAUAUAUAUAUAUACAUGCGUGUUUGUGCCGGGCACGUGUAUGCGCGCAUGUGUGUGAGCGGAUGUCAGACCAGGUUGUGUGUUCCUGCAGUGGCAGAGAUGAGAGGAAGAGAACCGGAAGCUGCUCUCCUGGAGACAGAUGGACUGCCAUGCUGUGGACACACACACACACACACACACAGAUACACACAACAGUACAGCCAACAACAGAACAUAUCAGAGCACGACUGAUGAAAACAUAAAAAAAACCACCAACACGCCGGCCUAAAAAGGGAUGAAAUACGCAAACAAAACUAUACCCGCCAAAGUUCAAUCCGCAGGGCAUCAGCAGCAUCAGCAGCAUCCAAGUGUCUCUUGACUGCUGAGAACCUCCCGCGGUUCAAUCCAGGAACUCAGCCUCGCUUGACGCAGUCGCACCUGAAAGGUAAAAUCCACAAUGAACACGGUGAGACGCUUGCUGACAAAUAUACAUGACACGCUCGCGCUCAUGACAGGUGUUAAUCCUGCCUGCCUCAGGUAUACGGUGACAACCUUCUCACACCCAACUUGAGAGCUCUGGCUGCACCAGGUUGUCACACAGGACGUGUUGUGCGCACACACGCACACACGCAGAUUCUGCUUCUUCUCUUUACUUUUCCCAGUCUGUCUUUUGAACGGAGACACACAGGAAAGGGAAGGAUGAGAUGAGAGAGUCUUCGCAGACAUCGACUCCAGCAGCGACAACAGCAGUAUCACACCGUGUGUUUGGGUGUUUCUGCGAGCGUCUGCGAAUGUGUGUGUGUGCCCGGGCGCGUGUGCUAGGUGUGUUUCACAGGAUUGCCAACACAUCUCCUCGCAGCGAGAGCCCUAUAGGAACAGAGACAUCUGUGGAGUGAAAGGACGCCAGCUUGCACGGCCGUCUCUGGAGAAAGAAGAGGAUGGGAGGAGGAGAAGAUGAGGAGGAGGAGGAGGAGGAAGAGGAAGAGGGAACGGGCAGAAGGAUGGAGGACAGUCGGCAGGAGCUCCAAACGUUCAUCCGAUAAUUACCGUCAGUCAAUAAUUGGAGUCCCGUCUAGUUCUGAACAUGAAGAGCUGAACAUUUUGCGUUUGAAUAAGUUGCUCCAUCAAGUAUAGCAAAGAGUAGAAGAAGAAGUUAACUUUUCUCUAAUCUAAGUAAAACAAUUCUUGGAACAACUAAAAAUGUACAGUAUCAUCUAUGGGUUAUCCCUUUAAUUGAUUUAAAUGGGUGUCCGUUGUAUUAAAAAACACUUUAACAUGCAGAUUUUUCUCUUUUGUUAGGUGUCGCCCUGUCAUUGAGUGGGCUUAGAAAUAAAUGAAGUGGUGAUUCGCUGCUUCAUCACAUCUUUGAAAAUAUAAACCUUUUAAAGAAAAGACUUAAAAGUAUUGCUCAUGCCUGCCUCAGCCACAAAUCCAUUGGAAUAAAAGCACCUCGAUGAAAAAAACAUAUUUUUCAAGCACCCUCGGUGAAUGUCGGCAAAUAGAUAUUGGAGGUUUGGCCUUCUUCAACAAUUCAUCCAUAACUAUGCAGCCGGGGACUUCUACCCGCAAAUGGAGCUGAUGACAAUACAAGCAAAUGUCCUCCUUGUGUGUACAAGCAAGUGCACUCAAGCAGAUGUGCUCUGCAGACCUUGGGAGUGCGAGCCAGGGAACAGGACACAGGUGCACCUGCUCUGUGCUCUCGGUAAAAGGUCAGCCAAACUCAAAGAGGGAUGUGACCUUCCAGCGCUUGUGUGUAAAUGUUUGCGAGCCCGUCCAAAAAGCUGAAAGUGUGAGAGUUAGAAUGAAAUUAAUAUGUACCGGGGAGGGGGGGGGGGGUAUUUGCUAAAUGUGUGCAGCAGUGUAUUCCUUGCAGCUCAUCUGUUUUCCGCUAAUCUUACUGAGACUUUUUUCCAAACAGCCAUCGUUGCCACACGUGGCUCCGCGUCGGUUGCCCAAGUGCAUUUCCAGCGAUCUGAGCAGGUAUACAGGAAAAAACAUGUGCAGCCGGACCCCUGCCAGAGGAGACAGAAAGUCCGCAAUGAUGUUUCACCACAUAGAUUAUGCAGAUACCGCGGUAUCAGGAACCACGGAACAGAGAGGGAGAGAAACGGGGGAGAAACGGAGAGAGAGAGAGAGACGGGGAGCCGGCGACAAACAAACACGGGCGGAAAGAAAGGACAGAGAUGGGAGCGAACACAGGGAAAACGGAGCAAGCGUCAGCAUGAGAGGGGAGGACAUGAGAGACAGAGCGAGGGAAGUGAAGCGGGGAGGGGGUGUGCGCAGGCUACAGCUGGCAGAGGGAUUCCCAGAGCCAACUGCCAGUGUAGAGGAGCUCCUUAACAACUUCACAGGACUCUCAGAAAGGAGCUUUAAAGUGGCCACAUGGCCUGGCCAGCACAGCAGAGCAGAGCAGCAGGCUUUACUGGGGCUCUGCACACACACACACACACACACACACAUCCGUGUGCAAAGCAUUCACACACACACACACACACACACACACAAGCUCAAAAAGACUCAGCCUGCCAGCUGCUGACAGGGACAAGAGUGUCCAGAGCGAUAAAUCUGUGAGCAUCUGUGUGUGUGUGUGUGUGUGUGUGUGUGUGUGUGUGUGAGAGGAGGGGUUAGGAAAGAAAUAGCAAAAGAGCAAGAAGCCACUUCUAACCUCACACACGUGUAGUCAGCCGGAGGUCUGCGUGAAAAUGUCAGGUUAGCCGUAUGAGCUGCUUCUUCGAUGUGUGCCGCAUUGCCUACCCGCAGUCUCUUUCGUCUGCUUGCACGCUGCCUCUUUGCACAAAACACAAACCCCUACAACUGCUGUCCUCCUCUGCACCUGCAGCUUGCCUCCAGGAGGGAGGACACGUGCGCGCGGGACAUGCUGUUCGGCAAAGCAGCUUUGCUUUUUCGCCGUUUGAUUCUCCCCGAUAGCAGCGAGCAGCGGCUGGUCAUCUAAUGGUUUCAACCAGCUAAUCCUCGUAAUUUUUGGAACCGCCGGCUGAUCCUUUAAAUGCCCGCGCUCGGUGCAAAGCAGAAAUUGGUUCUUGUUGGUUUUUUUGUGUUCCGUUCAAAUGCUCGAUUAACAUUAUCCCUCUUUUGAGCCGAACUUUGAGGGAAGGAUGGAGGGAUUGAAAUACGCCGGAGGAAAGGAUGGACCGGGGGGGGAAAGGGGCAGUGGAGGAGAUGCCAUCACACAACCAGACUCAGACAAAUAUCUCCCUCCCUGCGUUCUCUCUCUCAAACCUUUACUGGACCCCUGUCUGCCUGGAUGGGUAAGUUCUCCCGGGGUCCGCUCGGCCACAAAAGGUUUAUCAGUCGUCUUUCCUUUAUAUUUUUUUCCCACCAUCACUAUGCCAGACCACCGCUAUAGUAAUGGCGGGGCAUUAGCAUUUCAAGGAGCUUCCAUUAAGGAGGGCAAGAAAAGCUGCUCUCAGCAGGGGGAAAUCCAUUUUGUCCCAGGCUCCAACAUCUGCUGCAGCCGUCCCAGCCAGAAGGACGCUGGGAUAAAGCCGGAGAGCCCUCUGAUUUACUGUAAUGACAGACAGACAGAUAGACAGGCAGAACGGAUGACCAUAUGCGAAAGCGAGGGACAAAAAGGAAAAGACAAAAACAGCUUCUGUCUCACUGUCUGUCAUUUUCUGGUGCUUUCCAUGUGCAUGUGUUGGUGGUGG
ensembl:lncRNA